rnacentral:lncRNA from 1 species
UGCUACAUGUCAUACCGCAUAUACUACAUAUGCUAAGGAGUGCUACGUACGUACGGAGUAGUAUACUGUACGUACUAUGUACGUAGUAGUAGUAACAAAUCUCGGAACAGAUUCCGCGCUUUGCCGACAAUAAAAAAAAAAUCGCCGCUAUAAGCCCCUUGUCCCAACAAACGGAAUCGGAAGAAUUAACUUUUCGAAUGGGUCAUUUUUUCUUCAAGGUUUUUUUUUUUUUUUUUUUUUUUUUCUUCCCUUUUGUGCCCUGUUUGCUACAACCAUGGUUGAGGAUAUGAGAGGCGAAUUUGUAAAAGUCUGGAAACAUCGCAUCCUUGGCCUAGGGAAAAGUUUUUGUUCCCAGAACCAUGGAUUUGAUUGACUCCUGUACGGAGGACUCAGUACUAUGUCGUCUGUAUUUUUCUUUUUUCUUGUUUCUUGUCCUGGAAGACGCAGUAUGUACUAUGUAGUAUGAAUGCAAUGCAAUGCAACUUGCCUCGGCUCAAAUGGAUCCAUCUAAGAAUAUUCGAGUGCGUAAUCGGUGCGCACUGUAACUAACUAACUAACUAGUAACUUAGUGGCAAGCUGCAAGAUUGAUAAUCAAAAUCAAUAAUUGUCCAGAGUAGCCAGGGGAGGACUUGGUAUCAAUGCAACUCGGCAACUUUGCCGGUGGUUACCAUUACAAAGUACUCCGUAUAGUCUCCGUAAUACGUAUUCAGAGUACAUACUUACAGCUAAACCAACUGCCGACGAGAAACGAAGCCUUUUAUAUUAAAAAAUUUCGGCAUUCAAUCCUCGUGCCGAGUCUUGUAUUUAGGUAGCACUAUUUACACCAAUCUACAUCCUGAACUCCUAGGUAGAGUUAACUUCACCACGUUGCAAACAAAGCACAGUCAUGUAAGAAUUGGCGGAGCUUAUUCUCCUUUCAGUUGUGCUUCCAAAGAGGAAACCGAGGGGUUGGCGUUUUCGGCCUUUGACUCUUUGUGUGUUAAAUUCAAAAUUGUCCAGUAAAUUCUCGGAUGCAAGAAACUAUGCCUUUCAUUCGUUGCUUGUGUAAAUGAUAAGCUUCUAUCUGCCUCGUCACACUUAUCGGAUUCUUUGUUAAUAAUGCUCGAGUACGGAGACUUGACUCGACUCGACGUGUAAUGUGUGUACGUAUUAUGGCAUACAGAUUGGCGGGUCCUGGAUCGCCAAGCACCAUCUCGCACUAACCCGAAAGGAGUAUCUGUAUGCGUCCACCUCAUUCCAUCUUGCCCAAUCAGGCCUAUAACCCGGGUUGUCGUUGUACGUGGAUAGAUAGAUAAUCACUGCUAUCUCUGCAUCGACAAUUGACAGGUCAUAUUUUCUAUAUUUGGUAGAUAUGUAGUAUCUUACGUAGUAGUACGUAGAUAGCUACUUACUGCAUGCUUCGAUAAAUAUUUCGUGAGGUGAAUUGUGGUGGGUAGUGGAUAUGCGGAAGGUCCACAAUAGAAGCGGGAGAAGCCUCCAAAGAAGCUUGAAGCUUUGCGACUUUACUCCGUAGUGACUUAGUCGCUGUUCCCUCCCUGAAGGAAGCCCCCCCAGUGCGGUGCGGGACGAUGGGGUCUUUUGACAGCUGAAGAUUAUUACAGAUUAUGUCUACGACGUACAUACUACAGGAGUACGUACUACUUACUGUAUGUAUCUUGAUGCUUGAAGGAGAGGGCAAUUGCAUGUUCAUGAGUUAUGCGCUUUGUUAUGCACGUACCUGGAUAUGAGUACGUUACUGACGUCCUACUACGUAGUAUGUACAAUGAGAAUGGAAGAUAAAACCAUCGGAAUGGCCGACAAUCUACGGAGUACUCUCCUACAUUUAGUUAUUUCAUCCAUCUCGAUCGUACAUGCCGAAUACCUGCGGCUGUGGCUGUAGGCCGAAGGUGCGUGUGGGAGACAAGGGGGAAAAAAUGGCUCAAUCACAUGACGCCUCCUCCGCCCGCCCGGAUCCGUUCUCCCCUUUUGUUGUUCCUUUUCGGUACUCCGUUCAUAGGUCAUAGUUCAAAAUAUCCUGGUCAUAGUCUCACUUAGUUCAGAUUUUAUGAUUAUCACAUCAUACUACGUACGUAGUUGAACUAGUUAACAAUCCUGCCCUUUUGGUCUUUGAGUGCAUUAGUGUGUCUGGGUAGUAAUCGUGCCAUCAUGUCUCGACCGAUGCGGACGGACGUGUAUAUUACUAUCUUUGCUGUCUACUUUGAUUGAGUAAUCUCAAUAGCUUCAAUUGUAUAACUACGUACUAUGUAUGUAGUAAAGCACGAACCUGCUUGCUUGCUUGUGUUGGCGCAUGGAGCAGAUCUUAUCAUUCUGCACAAAGUGGGACGAACGGUCCAGGAACCCGGUCGGGUGGCCUAAGGAAUCCACUUUGUCAAGGGACGAGAUGGAGCUCUUGGGGGAGAAUUUAAGCAUACUUUUGGUGUAGUUCAAACCAUAUGAUCUUACUUCUUGCAGAUGCUAGAUGGCCGGCCCACAUAGCCGUUGAUAUCAGAAUCAAAAUCUUUUAUACUCCGUAGGAUAAAAAAUAAUAAAAACCACUACGUACAAUGCAUUUCAGAAACGAACCCUUUCGACGCAACAUCAAUACGCGUUCCGGAAACGGACAUCGAAAAGACAGAUGACUAAGUUAGACAAGGAGGACUCCGGCUUUGAUACGAUCAUUGAUGGGUGUCUCCGAGGCAGGCGUAUUAUUAGUAUUGCCUACCUAGGCAGUUAGGUAGAUAGGACUACUCGAAAAUCAGUCAAACAGUUACAUUUACUUGGAUGCCUCUGAUUUGUCGGGCCGAGCCCACCACUCUCUGACAUGGACAGUCCUAUAACAAGCCCACGAACUCAAUAAAUGUUAGUUAACUAUGUACUGGUAGUACCUAGUCACAAGUAGUAUACCGCCUCACUGUGUACAGAAAGUAGCAGUCAGGUAUUUGUGCGUGCAGUUGUCGGCCUGAUAUCUCUUGUCGGUACUUUCUUUGUUCGAGUAAAUUGUGUGUGUAUGUAUCCUGGUUGUAUGUCGGGCGGCAUGUUCCGAUUGGAAGAUUGUAACUUCCUUUUUCGAUUGUUGGCGUUCUUCCCUGUAUUUUUUGCAAGGAACCAUGAAACUCGACAGAUGAGCAGCAAAUGGCAAUAUGCCCGUCAACUCAUGUGUGUAUAAUUACGUAUUCUGAAACGGGCGACCAAGCCUGACCGUUUAGAUUUCCCUGUUUUUGGACAGCACUCGCUGUGGCUCAUAUGCACGCACUAUGCCAUAAGGCGCACGACCCCUCCUUACUCUUCCGGGAAGGGGGCCCCCUUUUUUUGCGUCAUCGAACCAAUAAGCAACGCUAGAAUUGAAACGGCGUUUA